rnacentral:rRNA from 1 species
GAUGAACGCUGGCGGCGUGCCUAAUACAUGCAAGUCGAGCGAACUGAUUAGAAGCUUGCUUCUAUGACGUUAGCGGCGGACGGGUGAGUAACACGUGGGCAACCUGCCUGUAAGACUGGGAUAACUUCGGGAAACCGAAUCUAAUACCGGAUAGGAUCUUCUCCUUCAUGGGAGAUGAUUGAAAGAUGGUUUCGGCUAUCACUUACAGAUGGGCCCGCGGUGCAUUAGCUAGUUGGUGAGGUAACGGCUCACCAAGGCAACGAUGCAUAGCCGACCUGAGAGGGUGAUCGGCCACACUGGGACUGAGACACGGCCCAGACUCCUACGGGAGGCAGCAGUAGGGAAUCUUCCGCAAUGGACGAAAGUCUGACGGAGCAACGCCGCGUGAGUGAUGAAGGCUUUCGGGUCAUAAAACUCUGUUGUUAGGGAAGAACAAGUACGAGAGUAACUGCUCGUACCUUGACGGUACCUAACCAGAAAGCCACGGCUAACUACGUGCCAGCCGCCGCUGUAA